GGUCGGAUGGCGCAAUGGCAGCGCGUUGGUUUUCGGCUUAUCCAAUUCGGCAACCCCGAAUAGGAAUGUCCGCCAAAGGUUGCGAGUUCGAGUCUCGUUCCGAUCG
rfam:Aspergillus rambellii strain SRRC1468 contig00593, whole genome shotgun sequence.